UACGUAGGUGGCAAGCGUUGUCCGGAUUUACUGGGCGUAAAGAGCGCGCAGGCGGUCGAGUAAGUCGAAUGUGAAAGCCCCCGGCUUAACUGGGGAGGGUCAUUCGAUACUGUUCGACUUGAAGGCAGGAGAGGGUAGUGGAAUUCCCGGUGUAGUGGUGAAAUGCGUAGAGAUCGGGAGGAACAUCAGUUGCGAAGGCGGCUCUCUGGACCAGCACUGACACUGAGGCACGAAAGCGUGGGGAGCAACAGG
rnacentral:rRNA from 1 species